GAGAUUCUUCGGGGUCGGGUGCAAAUCCCAACCGGCGGUAUAGUCCGCGACCCGGCGCGUUUAUCCGCGCUGGCUGAUCUGGUGCAAUUCCGGAACCGACAGUAAAGUCUGGAUGAGAGAAGAAUUAU
rfam:Lachnospiraceae bacterium 5_1_57FAA genomic scaffold supercont1.3, whole genome shotgun sequence.